rnacentral:pre_miRNA from 1 species
GUUACUGGGGUGGAGCUCUCUGAAGUCCAAUAGAGGGCUGUGUUGGGUGGAUUGAGCUGCUGAUCUAUGGAUCCCACAGUACUAUCCCCAUUUGAAAUAAUUAAGGAAGAAGAAAGGGAUAGGGUUGUGGCUUGCAUAUGUCAGGAGCUUCAUUUGCUCAACUCAACUGAUCCCUUGUUUGGAUUGAAGGGAGCUCUACACUUUGGCUCC